AGAGAUUAAAAAUCUAGAAGAUUAAUGUGGUUAAUACGAUGAUGAUGUUGUUUGUUUCUGAUUUUCCGAUUUGUAACCUGGCUUUCCUUGCUUUUCUCUGUUUCUUUCCUUUUCC
rnacentral:ribozyme from 15 species